rnacentral:rRNA from 1 species
UAGUCUGGGAUACCACUUGGAAACAGGUGCUAAUACCGGAUAAGAAAGCGGAUCGCAUGAUCAGCUUUUAAAAGGCGGCGUAAGCUGUCGCUAUGGGAUGGCCCCGCGGUGCAUUAGCUAGUUGGUAAGGUAAAGGCUUACCAAGGCGAUGAUGCAUAGCCGAGUUGAGAGACUGAUCGGCCACAUUGGGACUGAGACACGGCCCAAACUCCUACGGGAGGCAGCAGUC